rnacentral:rRNA from 1 species
UACGGAGGGUGCGAGCGUUAAUCGGAAUUACUGGGCGUAAAGCGCGCGUAGGCGGUCUGUUAAGCUAGAUGUGAAAGCCCAGGGCUCAACCUUGGAACUGCAUCCAGAACUGGCAGACUAGAGUACGAGAGAGGUAAGUGGAAUUUCCCGUGUAGCAGUGAAAUGCGUAGAUAUGGGAAGGAACAUCAGUGGCGAAGGCGACUUACUGGCUUGAUACUGACGCUGAGGUGCGAAAGCGUGGGGAGCAAACGGG